CACUCCUGCGGGAGGCAGCAGUGGGGAAUAUUGGACAAUGGGCGCAAGCCUGAUCCAGCCAUGCCGCGUGAGUGAUGAAGGCCCUAGGGUUGUAAAGAUCUUUCACUGGUGAAGAUAAUGACGGUAACCGGAGAAGAAGCCCCGGCUAACUUCGUGCCAGCAGCCGCGGUAAUACGAAGGGGGCUAGCGUUGUUCGGAUUUACUGGGCGUAAAGCGCACGUAGGCGGACUAUUAAGUCAGGGGUGAAAUCCCGGGGCUCAACCCCGGAACUGCCUUUGAUACUGGUAGUCGUGAGUUCGAGAGAGGUGAGUGGAAUUCCGAGUGUAGAGGUGAAAUUCGUAAAUAUUCGGAGGAACACCAGUGGCGAAGGCGGCUCACUGGCUCGAUACUGACGCUGAGGUGCGAAAGCGUGGGGAGCAAACAGGAUUAGAAACCCCUGUAGUCCCAUG
rnacentral:rRNA from 1 species